rnacentral:lncRNA from 1 species
GGCAAAGUUGGUGUUCAGUUUAACUCUGGGUGACAUUAAAUAUUACCUGAAAAUUUUUAGCAGCAUCAGAAACUGUUACAGUUGCAAUAACCUGGAAACAGAGGUGACACCAAACAGAGAUGGAGGCUCAAGUCACAAUUUGUAUAACUUCAAACUUUCAUGACUCACACUGAUGAAAGACAAAUACACAUAAGCAGUGGAUCACUUCAUUUUCCAUCCACUAUGGUGUCGUCCGUUCACUUUAACGCCAGUGUGGAGAAACAACCACGAGCCUGUUCAGCACAUAAACAUUUAAGCUGCAGCUCUGCAUUUUCCACCACUCAGAUAAGAUUGUGAUAAUAUAGUUUUCCUGUUUGCAUAUCUAAACUAAAUAUUAGCAGAUAACUCAUGUAAUCAGUAAAGUGCUCGAACAUAGUUUUUAUUUGGAGUUGUCACAAUGCAUUGAAAUAAGAUUGGACCAUAUAAUGCCCAUUGCACAAUUUAGUAAAAAGUGUCAUUUACAUAAGAAAAGAAAAAACAUCACAGAGCGUUUUGUGGUUCAGAGCUCACUUUACAUACAGAUGAUUAGCAUCAGAUAACAGUGACACAUUUCAUCAUGAUUUCCUCUUAGUUACUCAGAGGGCUCUUUGCGAAACUGUUGCUAAAACAAAAUGUCUUAACAUCCUGAGCAAACAGCGAGAAAUGUUAAAGUGGGCAGUCUGCUAAUGAGCAUUGUCGUCUGAGUUCUGGAAGAGGAAGAAGCAGAAGAAAAACUAGUAAAAAUGUCAGAUGUGGACCCGCCGUCGUAUGUGGCUCUGAGGCCUCAAAGUGCAGUCCUGAUUUCAACGAUCGUUGUGGUAAACAUUAUUUACUGGAUGCUUAUGAUUGCAGCCAUUGCUUUGGGGGCCACUCAUCUGGACCCAGUCCAGUGCCGUGCACAUAAUGGGAUCCCCAUCUAUCUGAUUUUACUGGGAGUCUCCAGCAUCAUCACUCUGACUUUGGGUUAUACCAAGAGUGCCUGGAAAAGUGACCUCACCUUCCUCAAUAACAUGUGUGUCUCUGCCUUCCUGACCAUUGUGACUUUCGCCAUUUUAAUCACAGGAUCUCGCUUUGUUUACAGUGUCUAUCCUCCCAACUACGACUCACCUGAGUCACCUGUCUACUGUGACAGGAUUACCUACCAGUUCGCCUUUGUCGUCACCACCCUGCUGUGGGUUGCUGCUAGUAUGUCGCUCCUCUGCGGCUGUUGCUUUGUUGUAAUCACCUGCUGUGGAGCCGUGGGGGCGAGAAGCAACCUGCUGCCGACACGCAGUAGUUUCUACGGUGCAACAAGUAAUUAUCAGGAGCAUGUAGCCGGUGAUGUGUGAUUUCAUCCUUAUUUGACUUUGACAGAUGUGAACAUUAACCCAACAUUUGACCUAAAUGAUACAGAUUCUGACUGACAGGAUUAAUUUUUCCUGUUUUGGUUAUUUACGCUAAAAUUAACACUGUUUCCUGACUUACUUCAUUUCUGACUUAAGCAACAUUUUUGUAACAUGUUCUUGUAAGGUAGUCAGCUACGUACUGUGUGUGUGUAUUAGGAUGGCUAAAAUGCAGAGAAUAACCAUAUAAGACAAUUUAGAGGCAGCUAUCACUGAAUCAGUACUGUUAUAGAGAAUAAAUUGGUCAUAUUGUUUGUAUGUAUGGCAGAAAAAUGUUUUUCUGCAGUGCAAAACUUGUAGAUAGAAACCUGUUGUAGAGUGUUGUUUGAGAUAUAUGUUCUUUUGCAAACAGCUUAUCAUAAUAAUAAACAUGAUGCAUGU